CAAAGAUUGUGAGUUCGAGUCGGGAGCUUCCUGGGGAAGGGGUUACAAAAGAAUCUAAAAAUAAAAAGAAAAUGUUCUUGGAGGGGUUUAAAAAAAAGACCUAAAAGGAAAAAGUCCAAAUACAAUUUCUAACUUCCAAAUUCCUUUUUUAUGAAAACUUCACUCACAUAUUGUCCAACUUGCCUACUAAUAAUAGUUAUAUUGAGUUAAACAACAUAAAAGUAUUUUGUUUGAUGGAUCCGGAUGUUGCUGUUGAGAGUGUUAUUGUGAGGAGAAAUGUGGAAGUUGGGAGUAAGAGUGGGGGAUGGGGGAGGCAUUGGGAAUAGGGUAGGAAAAUACACAUACCUACACCAAUUGGGUAAAGCUCCACCUCAAGCUAUUGAUGCUCACCAUAUUGUUGUUCAAAGGGUUUCAAUUUAUGCCUCUUUACUCUUCUCCUUUUUGCUUAUCCAUACUUUCUCUUAUUCCACCAGGGAAAGCUAGAUACUCUUCAUAUUUGGAGCUUAGUUAUCAUGGCGUUGCUCAUUAGGUUAUUUCUACAGACGCCAGUUAAGAAAGAGUCUGUUCUAAUUCUGCCAGCAUUUGGAGUUCAACUUGAGACUCAGUAUGGAAGGUACUUACUGCUCCUGUUAUAGAGUGGGAAAACAGUUCGCCAGUUUGUCCAUAUUAGCAGGAUUUUGAAACCAGUGCUGACAGAAUGUGUCACACCAGUUACCUGUUAUUGGAGUCUAUCUUUGAUUAUUCGAGGGGAGGAAGAACUUAUGCUAGUUUUCAAGGAAUUGCGUCCACCAAUGAAAAUGUUAGCGCCCAUCUGGAAGGCUUUAUGUGCUGCCAUCGAAUGUGGAGAAUGCACGGAGGCUAUUACAUAGAUUGUACAAGUAUAACCUCAGCUGAUUCAAUUUCUAGUUCAGCAUUUGUAUUCUCUACAUUUAAAGUUGUAAAUGGCAUGAUAUAGUCCCCUAUAUUGUCAUCACACAUGCUUCCUGCAAAAGGCUAAUCAUAUGAGCUGCUUAUUGCAUUGAAACCACUUUUCAUACAGGAUACUUUCUUCCAGAAGUUUUAGUUGUCCUUUUCAAUUACCUUGUAAAUAAACCGGGUGCAGAUGCCAAAUCUCUAGUUCCAGUUCUUUUUCAGAUCUAA